AUACGUAGGUGACAAGCGUUAUCCGGAUUUACUGGGCGUAAAGGGCGUGUAGGCGGUCUUGCAAGUCAGAAGUGAAAUUCCUGAGCUCAACUCGGGCGCUGCUUCUGAAACUGCAGGACUUGAGUGCUGGAGGGGAUAGCGGAAUUCCUAGUGGAGCGGUAAAAUGGGCAGAUAUUAGGAAGAACACCGGUGGCGAAGGCGGUUAUCUGGACAUUAACUGAAGCGGAGGCGCGAAAGCGUGGAGAGCAAACAGGAUUUGAUCCCCUGGUAGUCCACGCCGUGAACGAUGAAUACUAGGUGUAGGGGGUAUCGACUCCCUCUGUUCCUCAGUUAACACAAUAAGUAUUCCGCCUGGGGAGUACGGCCGCCAGGUUGAAACUCAAAUGAAUUGACGGGG
rnacentral:rRNA from 1 species